rnacentral:rRNA from 1 species
AGUGAACGCUGGCGGUAGGCCUAACACAUGCAAGUCGAACGGCAGCACAGUAAGAGCUUGCUCAUCCGGGUGGCGAGUGGCAGACGAGUGCUGAAUACAUCGGCAUCUACUUUUUCUUGGGGGAUAACGUAGGGAAACUUACGCUAAUACCGCAUACGACCUACGGCUGAAAGCAGGGGCUCUUCGGACCUUGCGCGAUUGAAUGAGCCGAUGUCGGAUUAGCUAGUUGGCGGGGGAAAGGCCCACCUAGGCGACGAUCCGUAGCUGGUCUGUGAGGAUGAUCAGCCACACUGGAACUGAGACACGGUCCAGACUCCUACGGGAGGCAGCAGUGGGGAAUAUUGGACAAUGGGCGCAAGCCUGAUCCAGCCAUACCGCGUGGGUGAAGAAGGCCUUCGGGUUGUAAAGCCCUUUUGUUGGGAAAGAAAAGCAGCAGGUUAAUACCCCGCUGUUCUGACGGUACCCAAAGAAUAAGCACCGGCUAACUUCGGG